UACGUAGGUGGCAAGCGUUAUCCGGAUUUAUUGGGCGUAAAGGGAACGCAGGCGGUCUUUUAAGUCUGAUGUGAAAGCCUUCGGCUUAACCGGAGUAGUGCAUUGGAAACUGGGAGACUUGAGUGCAGAAGAGGAGAGUGGAACUCCAUGUGUAGCGGUGAAAUGCGUAGAUAUAUGGAAGAACACCAGUGUCGAAAGCGGCUCUCUGGUCUGUAACUGACGCUGAGGUUCGAAAGCGUGGGUAGCAAACAGG
rnacentral:rRNA from 1 species